UACGAAGGGGGGCUAGCGUUGUUCGGAAUCACUGGGCGUAAAGCGCACGUAGGCGGACUUUCAAGUCAGGGGUGAAAUCCCGGGGCUCAACCUCGGAAUUGCCUUUGAUACUGUAGGUCUCGAGUCCGGAAGAGGUGAGUGGAAUUGCGAGUGUAGAGGUGAAAUUCGUAGAUAUUCGCAGGAACACCAGUGGCGAAGGCGGCUCACUGGUCCGAUACUGACGCUGAGGUGCGAAAGCGUGGGGAGCAAACAGGG
rnacentral:rRNA from 1 species